rnacentral:lncRNA from 1 species
GAUGCACAUGACCUGGGGAAUCUUCAGGAAUCUGUGACACCAAUUGAGCCCCAGAGGGGCAGCACAACCUCAGAAGUGCUGAACAGGGAGAAGGCCCUGCUGCGGACAAGCAGCUGGAGUGAGAAUAAAAACAACGGGAUCAUAGGGGCAACUCUGCACGAUCCAUGUGACAUUGGGUAUAUUUCUGGACUUGUCUGAGACAUACACUAUGGGUCCUAGGAGGUUUGAGACAGGUUCUUCUUGC